AGCGAACGCUGGCGGCAGGCCUAACACAUGCAAGUCGAACGAACCUUUCGGGGUUAGUGGCGGACGGGUGAGUAACACGUGGGAACGUGCCUUUAGGUUCGGAAUAACUCAGGGAAACUUGUGCUAAUACCGAAUGUGCCCUUCGGGGGAAAGAUUUAUCGCCUUUCGAGCGGCCCGCGUCUGAUUAGCUAGUUGGUUGAGGUAAUGGCUCACCAAGGCGGCGAUCAGUAGCUGGUCUGAGAGGAGGUUCAGCCACAUUGGGACUGAGACACGGCCCAAACUCCUACGGGAGGAAGAAGGGGGGAAUCUGGAGCAAUGGGCGAAAGCCGAACGCAGCCAUGCCGCGUGAAUGAGGAAGGUCUUAGGAUGGAAAAAUUCUUUAACCGGGGACGAUAAGGACGGUACCAAGAGAAAAAGCCCCGGCGAACUGCGU
rnacentral:rRNA from 1 species